rnacentral:tRNA from 1 species
GGGCCAGUAGCUCAAUUGGUAGAGCAGCGGACUCUUAAUCCGUUGGCUCGGGGUUCAAGUCCCCGCUGGCCCACCA